UGGGGGAUAUUGCACAAUGGGCGAAAGCCUGAUGCAGCGACGCCGCGUGGGGGAUGAAGGCCUUCAGGUUGUAAACUUCUUUUGCUCUGAACAAGGCAUGCCUUUGGGGUGUGUUGAGUGUAGGGGAUGAUUAGCGCCGGCUAACUACGUGCCAGCAGCCGCGGUAAUACGCAGUGCGCGAGCGUUGUCCGGAAUUAUUGGGCGUAAAGGGCUUGUAGGUGGCUGGUUGCGUCUGUCGUGAAAGCUCAUGACUUAACUGUGGUUUUGCGGUGGGUACGCGCUGGGUUGAGUGCAGUAGGGGGGGCUGGAAUACCUGGUGUGGCGGUGGAAUGCGCAGAUAUCAGAAGGAAUACCGGUGGCGAAGGCGGGUCUCUGGGCUGUUACUGACGCUGAGGAGCGAAAGCGUGGGGAGCGAACAGG
rnacentral:rRNA from 1 species